GGCGAACGGGUGAGUAAUACAUCGGAACGUGUCCUUUCGUGGGGGAUAACCAGUCGAAAGACUGGCUAAUACCGCAUGAGAUCUCACGAUGAAAGCGAGGGACCGCAAGGCCUCGCGCGAUUGGAGCGGCGAUGUCGGAUUAGCUAGUUGGCGGGGUAAAAGCCCACCAAGGCGACGAUCCGUAGCUGGUUUGAGAGAACGACCAGCCACACUGGGACUGAGACACGGCCCAGACUCCUACGGGAGGCAGCAGUGGGGAAUUUUGGACAAUGGGCGCAAGCCUGAUCCAGCCAUGCCGCGUGUGUGAAGAAGGCCUUCGGGUUGUAAAGCACUUUCGGCCGGAACGAAAUCGCGCGGGUUAACAGUCCGCGUGGAUGACGGUACCGGAAGAAGAAGCACCGGCUAACUACGUGCCAGCCGCCGCGG
rnacentral:rRNA from 1 species